rnacentral:rRNA from 1 species
UACGUAGGGCGCAAGCGUUUAUCCGGAAUUAUUGGGCGUAAAGAGCUCGUAGGCGGUUUGUCGCGUCUGCCGUGAAAGUCCGGGGCUCAACUCCGGAUCUGCGGUGGGUACGGGCAGACUAGAGUGAUGUAGGGGAGACUGGAAUUCCUGGUGUAGCGGUGAAAUGCGCAGAUAUCGGGAGGAACACCAAUGGCGAAGGCAGCUCGCUGGGACGGUACUGACGCUGAGACGCGAAAGCGUGGGGAGCAACAGG